CUGCCUUGGCCUCCCAAAGUUCUGGGAUUACAGGCAUGAGCCACCAUGCCUGGCCUCAAAAAUCUUUUUAAAUUGUGUGAGCUACUAAACAUUGUCCUUUUGCCAAAACAGAAACAGUAAAUGUAUUAGUAUUCAUUAGUUCAGUUUUUUACUCAAAACGCAUUUAGGAUUUUUUUAAAGAAAUAUCUCACUCUACGGUACCUAAAUGAUUCCUAAAUGGAAGCAUAUCUUUCACAUGCUCUCCCAAAAUUUUUGAGGCCUUUUUAUAUGAAAGACUUCUAUAUGAAAUAUCGGCUUGUGACUAUGAGAUUUCUUAGAUACAUGAUCCAUUAAAAAAAAUUUUAGCUGGGUGCAAUGGCUCACACCUGUAAUCCCAGCACUUUGGGAGG
rnacentral:lncRNA from 1 species